AGGGUAGUAGUUAAGUAUAACAUUUGGGUUGCAUUCAAAAAGUAUUGAAAAAUCAAUCUACCUUA
rnacentral:tRNA from 1 species